GAUGAACGCUGGCGGCGUGCCUAAUACAUGCAAGUCGAGCGAACAGACGAGGAGCUUGCUCCUCUGACGUUAGCGGCGGACGGGUGAGUAACACGUGGAUAACCUACCUAUAAGACUGGGAUAACUUCGGGAAACCGGAGAUACUACCGGAUAAUAUAUUCAACCGCAUGGUUCAAUAGUGAAAGGCGGUUUUGCUGUCACUUAUAGAUGGAUCCGCGCCGCAUUAGCUAGUUGGUAAGGUAACGGCUUACCAAGGCAACGAUGCGUAGCCGACCUGAGAGGAUGAUCGGCCACACUGGAACUGAGACACGGUCCAGACUCCUACGGGAGGCAGCAGUAGGGAAUCUUGCACAAUGGGCGAAAGCCUGACGCAGCAACGCCGCGUGAGUGAUGAAGGUCUUCGGAUCGUAAAACUCUGUUAUUAGGGAAGAACAGCUGUGUAAGUAAAUAUGCACGUCUUGACGGUACCUAAUCAGAAAGCCACGGCUAACUACGUG
rnacentral:rRNA from 1 species